AUCAGUGCACCGGGAAUCGAGCUCUCGCUGGGCAUCUCCUGCACCUCCACUGUGUCCGGUUCAUCCUCGCUCACACUAGAGUCACUCAGUGAGAAGAUAUGACACAGGCACAUGAGAACCACAAGAAAAGGCACAACACUGCAGCUGGCUACCAGGAUCCCAAAGACCAGAGUUGUACAGGAACUGUUAAAACAUUGUCAUGAGAAGAAUCACCUUCUUCCUCAGUCCGCUGGUUGAAACUGCUCCACUGGCUCCACAAACCCAUGUGUGGUCUUAACUUCAAUUUGACACGGAAAUGGUAAAACACGAAGGGCUCCAACGAGAUAGAGAUGUUCCAGUUGUGGUUUGACUCUGUGCGCUGGAGAGAGAUUUACACCGAUCAUCAGACCACAGCUGCUCACUCUAAUAUUUUCAUUGAUGAAAAAGCAUAUGAACACACACAAACAGGAAAGAGCCUCCGGAUGUGCAGUGAUGUCACCCAAAGCUUGUUUGAAAAAAGGUCAUUUAACAAAAUCCCCAUUCUGUGACAUUUCUCCCUCUCAGUCUGAUUCACCAAGGAGGUCUUGUGGUGUACAGUUUGAGUAAUUUCUGUGAGGGUUUUGUGGGCCCGCCUGCGCACCCUGAGUCAACUUCAUGUUGAUGCUGCUCGCCACUCUGCGUAAGCAAGCUAAUCAGCUCAUUAGUGGUGGGCGGUAUACCGGUUCACACCGUAA